rnacentral:rRNA from 1 species
CGAAGCGUGCGAUUGGAUUGCACGUCUAAGCAGUAAGGCUGAGUAUUAGGCAAAUCCGGUACUCAUUAAGGCUGAGCUGUGAUGGGGAGAAGACAUUGUGUCUUCGAGUCGUUGAUUUCACACUGCCGAGAAAAGCCUCUAGAUAGAAAAUAGGUGCCCGUACCGCAAACCGACACAGGUAGUCAAGAUGAGAAUUCUAAGGUGAGCGAGCGAACUCUCGUUAAGGAACUCGGCAAAAUGACCCCGUAACUUCGGGAGAAGGGGUGCUCUUUAGGGUUAACGCCCAGAAGAGCCGCAGUGAAUAGGCCCAAGCGACUGUUUAUCAAAAACACAGGUCUCUGCUAAACCGUAAGGUGAUGUAUAGGGGCUGACGCCUGCCCGGUGCUGGAAGGUUAAGAGGAGUGGUUAGCUUCUGCGAAGCUACGAAUCGAAGCCCCAGUAAACGGCGGCCGUAACUAUAACGGUCCUAAGGUAGCGAAAUUCCUUGUCGGGUAAGUUCCGACCCGCACGAAAGGCGUAACGAUUUGGGCACUGUCUCAACGAGAGACUCGGUGAAAUCAUAGUACCUGUGAAGAUGCAGGUUACCCGCGACAGGACGGAAAGACCCCGUGGAGCUUUACUGUA